rnacentral:rRNA from 1 species
UACGGAGGGGGCUAGCGUUGUUCGGAAUUACUGGGCGUAAAGCGCGCGUAGGCGGACCUGCAAGUCAGGGGUGAAAUCCUGGAGCUCAACUCCAGAACUGCCUUUGAUACUGGGAAUCUCGAGUCCGGGAGAGGUGAGUGGAACUGCGAGUGUAGAGGUGAAAUUCGUAGAUAUUCGCAAGAACACCAGUGGCGAAGGCGGCUCACUGGCCCGGUACUGACGCUGAGGUGCGAAAGCGUGGGGAGCAAACAGG